GGUUAAGCGACUAAGCGUACACGGUGGAUGCCUAGGCAAUCAGAGGCGAUGAAGGACGUGCUAAUCUGCGAAAAGCGUCGGUAAGGUGAUAUGAACCGUUAUAACCGACGAUGUCCGAAUGGGGAAACCCAGUGCAAUUCGUUGCACUAUCGUUUGAUGAAUCCAUAGUCAAACGAGGCGAACCGGGGGAACUGAAACAUCUCAGUACCCCGAGGAAAAGAAAUCAACCGAGAUUCCCCUAGUAGCGGCGAGCGAACGGGGAGCAGCCCAGAGUCUUAAUCAGCAUCAGCAUAAGGAGAACGGUCUGGAAAGGCCGGCAAUAAAGGGUGAUAGCCCCGUAUCCGAAGGUGUUGGUGUUGUGAACUCGACGAGUAGGGCGGGACACGUGUUAUCCUGUCUGAAUAUGGGGGGACCAUCCUCCAAGGCUAAAUACUCCUGAUUGACCGAUAGUGAACCAGUACCGUGAGGGAAAGGCGAAAAGAACCCCGGCGAGGGGAGUGAAAUAGAACCUGAAACCGUGUACGUACAAGCAGUGGGAGCCUUGAUUUAUCAGGGUGACUGCGUACCUUUUGUAUAAUGGGUCAGCGACUUAUAUUCUGUAGCAAGGUUAACCGAAUAGGGGAGCCGUAGGGAAACCGAGUCUUAACUGGGCGAAUGAGUUGCAGGGUAUAGACCCGAAACCCGGUGAUCUAGCCAUGGGCAGGUUGAAGGUUGGGUAACACUAACUGGAGGACCGAACCGACUAAUGUUGAAAAAUUAGCGGAUGACUUGUGGCUGGGGGUGAAAGGCCAAUCAAACCGGGAGAUAGCUGGUUCUCCCCGAAAGCUAUUUAGGUAGCGCCUCGUGAACUCAUCUUCGGGGGUAGAGCACUGUUUCGGCUAGGGGGUCAUCCCGACUUACCAACCCGAUGCAAACUACGAAUACCGAAGAAUGUUAUCACGGGAGACACACGGCGGGUGCUAACGUUCGUCGUGAAGAGGGAAACAACCCAGACCGCCAGCUAAGGUCCCAAAGUCAUGGUUAAGUGGGAAACGAAGUGGGAAGGCUCAGACAGCCAGGAUGUUGGCUUAGAAGCAGCCAUCAUUUAAAGAAAGCGUAAUAGCUCACUGGUCGAGUCGGCCUGCGCGGAAGAUGUAACGGGGCUAAACCAUGCACCGAAGCUGCGGCAGCGACAUGUAAAUGUUGUUGGGUAGGGGAGCGUUCUGUAAGCCUGUGAAGGUGUGCUGCGAGGCAUGCUGGAGGUAUCAGAAGUGCGAAUGCUGACAUAAGUAACGAUAAUGCGGGUGAAAAACCCGCACGCCGGAAGACCAAGGGUUCCUGUCCAACGUUAAUCGGGGCAGGGUGAGUCGACCCCUAAGGCGAGGCAGAAAUGCGUAGUCGAUGGGAAACAGGUUAAUAUUCCUGUACUGGUGAUAAUUGCGAUGGGGGGACGGAGAAGGCUAGGCUGGCCGGGCGACGGUUGUCCCGGUUUAAGGAUGUAGGUGGGUGAAUUAGGCAAAUCCGGUUCACUGUACACUGAGGUCUGAUGACGAGUCACUACGGUGGCGAAGUAGCUCAUGCCCCGCUUCCAGGAAAAGCCUCUAAGCUCUAGAUUAUCAUUAAUCGUACCCCAAACCGACACAGGUGGUCAGGUAGAGAAUACUCAGGCGCUUGAGAGAACUCGGGUGAAGGAACUAGGCAAAAUGGUGCCGUAACUUCGGGAGAAGGCACGCUGGCAUUAGGUGAAGUGGUUUACCCAUGGAGCUGAAGCCAGUCGCAGAUACCAGCUGGCUGCAACUGUUUAUUAAAAACACAGCACUGUGCAAACACGAAAGUGGACGUAUACGGUGUGACGCCUGCCCGGUGCUGGAAGGUUAAUUGAUGGGGUUAUCCGUAAGGAGAAGCUCUUGAUCGAAGCCCCAGUAAACGGCGGCCGUAACUAUAACGGUCCUAAGGUAGCGAAAUUCCUUGUCGGGUAAGUUCCGACCUGCACGAAUGGCGUAAUGAUGGCCAGGCUGUCUCCACCCGAGACUCAGUGAAAUUGAACUCGCUGUGAAGAUGCAGUGUACCCGCGGCAAGACGGAAAGACCCCGUGAACCUUUACUAUAGCUUGACACUGAACAUUGAGCCUUGAUGUGUAGGAUAGGUGGGAGGCUUUGAAGUGUGGACGCCAGUCUGCAUGGAGCCAACCUUGAAAUACCACCCUUUAAUGUUUGAUGUUCUAACGUUGCCCCGUGAUCCGGGGUGCGGACAGUGUCUGGUGGGUAGUUUGACUGGGGCGGUCUCCUCCCAAAGCGUAACGGAGGAGCACGAAGGUUGGCUAAGCAUGGUCGGACAUCAUGCGGUUAGUGCAAAGGCAUAAGCCAGCUUGACUGCGAGAGUGACGGCUCGAGCAGGUACGAAAGUAGGUCUUAGUGAUCCGGUGGUUCUGAAUGGAAGGGCCAUCGCUCAACGGAUAAAAGGUACUCCGGGGAUAACAGGCUGAUACCGCCCAAGAGUUCAUAUCGACGGCGGUGUUUGGCACCUCGAUGUCGGCUCAUCACAUCCUGGGGCUGAAGUAGGUCCCAAGGGUAUGGCUGUUCGCCAUUUAAAGUGGUACGCGAGCUGGGUUUAGAACGUCGUGAGACAGUUCGGUCCCUAUCUGCCGUGGGCGUUGGAAGAUUGAAAGGGGCUGCUCCUAGUACGAGAGGACCGGAGUGGACGCACCGCUGGUGUUCGGGUUGUCAUGCCAAUGGCACUGCCCGGUAGCUAAGUGCGGAAGAGAUAACCGCUGAAAGCAUCUAAGCGGGAAACUUGCCUUGAGAUGAGUCUUCCCUGACUCUUUAAGGGUCCUAAAGGAACGUUUAAGACGAAGACGUUGAUAGGCUGGGUGUGUAAGCGUAGCGAUACGUUGAGCUAACCAGUACUAAUGAACCGUGAGGCUUAACCUG
rnacentral:rRNA from 1 species